rnacentral:misc_RNA from 1 species
GAUGAAGAACGCAGCGAAAUGCGAUAAGUAAUGUGAAUUGCAGAAUUUAGUGAAUCAUCGAAUCUUUGAACGCACAUUGCACCCCCUUGGUAAUCCUUGGGGUAUACCUGUUCGAGCGCCGUUUGUGUCUAAGGCUCUGCCUUGCGUUGAUGCUGCCCUGUCAAGGGCUCGUCUAAACACAUCGGCGCCUGCCUUGGCCCCGAACGCAAUGAAAUGCGCGAAUGGUCCUGGUGGGCGGCCAGUCUCCGAAAGCAUGGCCUCGGAUCAGGUAGGGAUACCCGCUGAACUUAAGCAUAUCAAUAAGCGGAGGA